GAUGAACGCUAGCGGCAGGCUUAAUACAUGCAAGUCGAGGGGGCAGCAAUGUCACCGGCGAACGGGUGCGUAACGCGUAUGCAACCUACCUACAUCAGGGGGAUAGCCCUAGGAAACUGGGAUUAACACCGCAUAAUAUAUGACAAGGCAUCUUGUUAUAUUGAAAUAUUUAUAGGAUGUAGAUGGGCAUGCGUAGGAUUAGCUAGUUGGUAAGGUAACGGCUUACCAAGGCUACGAUCCUUAGGGGCUCUGAGAGGAGUAUCCCCCACACUGGCACUGAGAUACGGGCCAGACUCCUACGGGAGGCAGCAGUAGGGAAUAUUGGGGCAAUGGAGGCAACUCUGACCCAGCCAUGCCGCGUGCAGGAAGACGGUCCUCUGGAUUGUAAACUGCUUUUGAAUGGGAAGAAUGUGUGGCUUGCGAGCUAUAAUGACGGUA
rnacentral:rRNA from 1 species